CGUGCACAAAGCUUUCCCCAAUGUGGACACACAGGUUUACAGCUCAACCUCUAAAGUCCCAGAUCUGGCUGAUGAGACUGUGGAUCAUCCAGAACAUCACCAGUGGAAAAAAGGUGUGAAUGCAUCCUCAAAGCCCCUAAGUGAGGGAGUACAUGGUAAGCUAUUUUAUUUUAUUUUUUUAAACAUUUUUGUAUUUUCCUCUUAAACCAAUUCCUACUUUCUCCUUUGAUCUGUUGGUAAAUUUUAAUUUUUUUACCUGACUUUUUUUAGGAUGCUGGGCAUGAUGAAGCGCAAACCUUGAUGUGCAACACCACCUUAUGAAUCUACACUAGUUACA